UCCCUCUUAGCUCAGUGGUAGAGCGCGUCACUAGUAUGGCAGUGGGGAGAGAUUGCCAGCUAUGACGAGGUCAGUCGUUCAAGUCGGCUAGAGGGAA